rnacentral:piRNA from 1 species
UGGGGUAUGUUUAUCGUAAUAGA